rnacentral:rRNA from 1 species
GGAAAGAGGGGGGGAGGGGCGGCGGUAAGAUGUGCGGUGAAAGGGUUAUUCGGAAUUACGGGGCUGAAAGGGUACGGAGGCGGCGCGGGGAGGCGGGGGUGAAAUCCCAGGGCUCAACCGGGGAACUGCGCCCGAUACUGUAGUGCUUGAGGGAGACAGAGGUAAGCGGAACUGAUGGGGGAGCGGUGAAAUGCGUUGAUAUCAUCAGGAACACCGGUGGCGAAAGCGGCUUACUGGGUCUCUUCUGACGCUGAGGUACGAAAGCCAGGGUAGCGAAGGGGAUUAGAUGCCCUGGUAGUC